rnacentral:tRNA from 1 species
GCGGAAGUGGCGAAAUUGGUAGACGCACCAGAUUUAGGUUCUGGCACCGCAAGGUGUAAGAGUUCAAGUCUCUUCUUCCGCACCA